rnacentral:lncRNA from 1 species
GCAGAGAGAUCCCCAGCCCCAGCCGAGCAGACGAACGCAGCAGGUGAACCGUGAUCCUGGUCAGCUGAUAAGAUGAUACGCUUUGAAGUCAGCCACCUUCCUUCCUGUGGCUUUCUUCCGUCCCAUUAAAGCGUCCUGUGCCGGGACACUGCCCGACACUCCCCCUGUUGCAACACGUGCUGGGGUCCGCGUAAAAGCCUAGGCGCGGAGGUCCCAACCCCGAGCUGCCACGCGCUGCGCGGAGCCGGCACCUGGGGCUGCUAUGGGGUGGGGCAGGGAGGCUAGGGGACCGCAGGGUGCAGAGGUUGUACCUCUGGAAAAUUGACCUGGUGACACGCCCCACCCGGAGGAGCCCUCUUAGAAGGUGCGGUGGGUAACUUACUAGGGCCGAGCGCGCCCCACGAGGAAAGAAUUGCCGGUCUGCUGGGCCUUCCAUCAGAAAGGAGACUAAACCAGCUGCUGGAAGCCGUCGCUGUGGUGUGCGGCCGGGCUGGGGACCGCUUUUCCAGAAAAAGAGGACCUAGUCGUGAACGACCCAACCACCGCUGCUGGGGACAGGGAAAUUAAUUAAUUAAUUAAAAAAACUUGAGUGC